rnacentral:rRNA from 1 species
UACGUAGGGUGCGAGCGUUGUCCGGAAUUAUUGGGCGUAAAGGGCUCGUAGGCGGUUUGUCGCGUCGGGAGUGAAAUCCUACGGCUUAACUGUGGGCUUGCUUUCGAUACGGGCAGACUAGAGGUAUGCAGGGGAGAACGGAAUUCCUGGUGUAGCGGUGAAAUGCGCAGAUAUCAGGAGGAACACCGGUGGCGAAGGCGGUUCUCUGGGCAUGAUCUGACGCUGAGGAGCGAAAGUGGUGGGGAGCGAACAGG